rnacentral:rRNA from 1 species
AUCCAGACUCCUACGGGAGGCAGCAGUGGGGAAUAUUGCACAAUGGGGGAAACCCUGAUGCAGCGACGCCGCGUGGGUGAAGAAGCGCCUCGGCGCGUAAAGCCCUGUCAGCAGGGAAGAAAAUGACGGUACCUGAAGAAGAAGCCCCGGCUAACUACGUGCCAGCAGCCGCGGUAAUACGUAGGGGGCAAGCGUUAUCCGGAUUUACUGGGUGUAAAGGGGGCGCAGACGGCGAUGCAAGCCAGGAGUGAAAGCCCGGGGCCCAACCCCGGGACUGCUCUUGGAACUGCGUGGCUGGAGUACAGGAGGGGCAGGCGGAAUUCCUAGUGUAGCGGUGAAAUGCGUAGAUAUUAGGAGGAACACCGGUGGCGAAGGCGGCCUGCUGGACUGUGACUGACGUUGAGGCCCGAAGGCGUGGGGAGCAAACAGGAUUAGAUACCCUAGUA